UUUUAUUUUAUUUUAAAGUAAAAUAAGAAUAGAAGAAAUUGAAGGAAACUAUUCAACAGAGACUACAGGAUCUAAGUGUAAUAAAACAAACACAACAAAAUAAGAAGGGGACUAUCCAACAGAAACUACAGGAUCCAAGAAAAAUACAUAUCAUAGAUCGCACAAACUUCAAGGCACUUGUAUAAACCUGCAAAACAAGCAGGCUAAAAUUAGGACAACAGAGAAGGGGGGAACUACAUAAGAAGUUAAAAGAAAGGAUAGCCACUAGCUUUCUGAUCAGAACUUUCCUUCACUAGCUAGUAGAAUUAUGAUUAAAAUCUUGAAUUCCCUUCCCUUGCAAUGUAUAUCAGCACGAUACAGAGUUAAUAAUCUCUUUUGAUACGGCAAGCCAAGCCAGAGUAUAGAGUUAAUAAGGAUAACGACACCAGCACCAACAGUUACGUCAGUGGUAGAUUAGUUUGAAGAAAUUGGAAGGGGAGAAAUACAACAAUAACAACAACAUACCCAGUGUAAUUCCAAAACUGAAAAAAUCACUUUGUAAACCCAAUCGCAAAAUUUACAACAAAAAAUCCGAUAAACAAUUUCGUUUUUUCAAAAUUAUUUUUUUGAAAAAAAAAAGUAAAAUAAGAAUAGAAGAAAUUGAAGUUGAUUUUAGGAAGGAAAUUCACCUUAAUUCAAAGGUUUGAAUUAGAGAGAGAAAUUAAAUAGAAACUGCUGCUUGAAUUAACGCUUAUAAAGAGGAGAAAAUGGGUAAAUUUUUGCUAAAGUAACAGCUAAAGAAAGAGAGGUUUCAACUUGUAUCUCAACUUUACCAAAAAAAUUGUAAAUGUUGAGAUUUAAGUAAUAUUUAAGAAUUGGAGUGAUUUUUAGUAAUUUAGAAACAUAAGUGGUUUAUUUAAGUAAUUUUUCCUAAAAUUUUCUCCCCAGCCCAACAAAACCAACCGACCCGGCCCAAGUUCCCUUUCCCCUUAUAUCCCCUCAGCCGACAAAAACCAACAAAUAACAGCUAACAAUUUCAACGGACAAAACCCGACCCGUCCAACACCAGUUUCAGCAAACCAUUAGCGCAAAACAAUACCAACAUCAACAACAGUCAGCAAUCCAGAACAACAAUUUCAACACAAAUGACAGAAACAACUUUCAACGACAACAACUGCGAUAACAGAAAUAAUUUCAACGCAACAACAGUACAACAAUGGCAGAAGCAGCUCAGCAACAUCAUCUCAAUUUUCAAAAUUCAAAUGUCAAUUCGUUUUUCCUUCUUUACCCCUCCGUUUUCCCCCAAAACAACCACAAAUUCCUCUAUAAAUACCUACAUGUGUAGAGAAAUAGGGAGGAGGAUAUUGGGGAAAAAAAUUGAGGAUUCGGGAGGCUCAUGCUUCUAAUCCUACGUAACCCAAAAGAUUCUCGAAGAAACAUACUCAAAAACUCAAUUCCGAUAAAUUCGAAUUGAAAUUUCGGUGGUGGAAGUCCGUCGUCAACUCGUUGUUCCGAUUCGCUGCCCGGAAAAAGUCCAAUGGGACUCCCCAUAUCGUUGCAUUCACCCACAUUAUCUCGAGUCAGGCCUUAAAGUCCAAAGCUGGACUGAUAUCCAUGGGAUAUACACUUAGAUACAGUUGCUGUACACUGUAAAGCAGCUGAUAAUGGCUUAUAUUAAAAGUGGAAGCGAGCACGCAAGGUUUAUACAAAGAUAUACAGUGCGUAUACAAAAACGCAGCAGCAAUAGGGCUAAUAUACAGUCAGUAGACAACUGAUAUACAUUUCAGAAAAAUGGACUGAAGUCCAUAAUUCAAGCCCAAAACUGUGCAGAGAUUAAUGGGCCAAUUGAAGGCCCAACUUUAAUUCUUGCAUCUUGUAUUGUUUAUUGGUGCUAACUAACAUUUAAGUUAAUUAAUCUAGAUAAAUUUCCUAA